CGGCCAAAGGGCAGCCACACACACAUGCACGAACGGAUCGAACCCGUUGCGAAUCGAACUUGGUUCGAGUUCGAGCAACGGGUCGAUCCAAGCCAUAGCCCAGCC
rnacentral:pre_miRNA from 15 species